UAAUAAGAUCAGGAACAUAUUUUAAGGAAGUAAAUAAGGUACAUUUUCAUUUCAUCAAUGAUGAAAAUAAAGACCUAAAGCAUGGUGGAAACUCGAACAUCUACUAUGAAGAUUGCAGGUCACCUGUAUCUCUUUCCAGCAUUAAAUGACUGGUAUUGCAGACUAAGAUGACCAGUUAUGGGACUGUUAUACUGACUGUAUUAAGUGAAAAGCAAAAGGUGACUGCAAGAAUUCGCAGAAAGAGACGGCGGAGGGGAAGGUCAAGGCUGUCGAGUCGGAUGGGUUUCCAACGCAAGGCUGUACACUAGAAGCUGAGAAAGACGCGAUGGAUCUUGUGUAAAUAUCAUCUGACCACUGGCCAAGGUAGUUACAGAUUUGUGUUUGCAUUUAUGAUGUGCUUUAAAUUCUGUAUUCUGAUAUUACUUAUAAUAAUAACACAACUAUAUACAUAAUAACACAACUAUGACUUGAGACAAAAACAUCGACUUUUUAAAUUUUUUAUUAUCAAGUUCAACAUUUGAUUAAAAUAACAAUUGCAUGACACUCAUUUUGAACUGAUCUAUUAAUUUAUUCAAAAAUACAUGAAAAAUGCAAUUCAUACAUACAAUGACCUGAAUAUUCUCGUCUUAUGAUGUUUUUAAUUUCUGAAUUCAAAUAAGAGGAUUCCUGCACACCCUCACACACUGUUAAAAAAAAAUAUCGAAGUUGUAACUUGUGUUUUACAAGAAAAUACAAUUUUAGUUUUUACUAAUUUAC
ensembl:lncRNA